rnacentral:rRNA from 1 species
GACGAACGCUGGCGGCGUGCUUAACACAUGCAAGUCGAGCGGUAAGGCCCUUCGGGGUACCCGAGCGGCGAACGGGUGAGUAACACGUGAGUAAUCUGCCCAUCACUUCGGGAUAACUCCGGGAAACCGAUGCUAAUACCGAAUAUGACCACUUCAGGCAUCUGAUGGUGGUGGAAAGUUCCGGCGGUGAUGGAUGAGCUCGCGGCCUAUCAGCUUGUUGGUGGGGUAGUGGCCUACCAAGGCUUCGACGGGUAGCCGGCCUGAGAGGGUGACCGGCCACACUGGGACUGAGACACGGCCCAGACUCCUACGGGAGGCAGCAGUGGGGAAUAUUGGACAAUGGGCGAAAGCCUGAUCCAGCAACGCCGCGUGAGGGAUGACGGCCUUCGGGUUGUAAACCUCUUUCAGCAGGGACGAAGCGCAAGUGACGGUACCUGCAGAAGAAGCACCGGCCAACUACGUG